UUUAGGUUGUGGAUGUGUGGGGCAAACCACAGAUGGGGGGCAGCAGCGAGGAACGGGGCCAUUUCUGAAGAAGGAGGAGCUUUUUCCCCAGGGAAGAGGACCACGUGAUCUAGACCGAUGACCACAGGUGACUGUCACCCAGGACAGCUCAUCUGUGUAACAGUCACUGUUUGCCGCUACCUCCAGCCCCUAACCUCUCGUAGACUGUCACCUCCCAUGACUUCAGAAACCCCUGUGGCUCUAAGCUCCAUGUGAAGGUCGGCUGUGCGGCUGCUAUCCGAGUUUAAUAACUUUUUUGCACAUAUAUGAGUUAUUUGGAAUUAUGCAUGCAUAUGUGUGUGUGUGUGUGUGUGUGUGUGUGUGCGCACUCGCGCGUGCACAUGAGUGUCCUUGAGCAUGCUCAGUGAGCACUCUACUGUUUCACUACAUCUCCAGUCCACAAAAUAUCUUUCCAAAGAAGCCACUGCAUGUGUGCAAAAGUCAGAGGACAAUCUGUGGAAACUGGUUCUCCUUUGUCCCACUCAGGGUCCAAGGACGAACUUCACAGGUGGACUACUUAUCUAGUCAGGUUUGGCAGCGAGCACCUUCACCUGCUGAGCCAUACUCUGUGAGUUUUUUAAAUAAACAUCCGAAGGAGAACAAUCACGGCCACUUGCUUCGGGUGGGACCAGACCCCGGGCGAAGAAACAUGGAGGCACCCUUUCAUCUUCAAAGUUCUUUCAAUGUCUUAAAGCCAGACACAGCUUCACAGUGUCAUUGAGGGGGCUUCCAGCUAAUGGCUGCAUCCCCACGUGGAGAGAUUACAUGGCAGAGUAUGGUAAUGAUAGCUCCAUGUGUCGUGGGCCACGCUUUUUAAAAUGCCCCCCGGCACUUUCUCAUGAACUUAUCUUAGCCUAGAGGGUCUAUAAUUACUUCCUCUUCAGAGGUGGGAAACCCGAGUGUUCUCGAAGAUAAGUCUAUCUCCCCAUCAUAGUCCAACUGACACUCAAGUCACACCUAGAGCCCAGAGGAGACGAACGCGUCGCUGAGUCUAGAGUUCCCACUGCAGGUUUUACUCCUUAGGUGGUACCACUUAGAAAGAUCCCCUCCAAACCCUACAUUUUAUGUGUAAUGAACAGUCUAGAACGAGUUAAAAACCUCUUAGCGUGUGUUUCCCAUCCUCUUCCCCUUUCAAUGAAAUGAAGGGUGUCUCCUCCCCUUUAUUUGAGAGUCAAGUUCAUGGGCUUGUGUCUACAAAGUAAUUAUGGGGAGCACAGUGCUUACUCCAGCUCUCUGUGGGCAGACUUGGUCUCACUUCCUAAAGAGACUUGAAGUGCUCAGUUAAUAAUGCCCAGAAUAGUCGCAUGGGGAUUAGUACAGAGCAACCUGACGUCCCAAGCAUAUCUUGUCUUUUUAGGAAAAAGGCUAUCGAUUGCGACCAGAAUAGCCAAAUGUUUUUAUGGUUGCCCCCACUGCUAUGGGAGGCCUUAAUUGUUGAACUGUUGUCUUUAGUAUUUAGUUAUAGAGGGACAUCCUUGAAUACUUGAUUACCACAAAUGUUUGUUUGCCUUAUUUUGAUUGAAAUAGUGUCUCAUGUAGCCCAGGCAGGCCUAGAAUUGGCUAUGUAGCUGAG